rnacentral:lncRNA from 1 species
UAUUUUGGCCAGGAGCUGAAGUUGGUUGUUUAGUAGUAGUAGUUUGAGUAGUGACCGAAGUAGUAGUCUGGUGUGUGGGUGCAAGAGUAGUUGGGGAAGAAUUAGGUGUGGUAAUUGGGGCAGCUGUGGUCUCUUGUGGAGCUGGGGAAGACGGUGGAGCUGGUGUAGUUGCAGAAGGUGUGGGUGGGGCAGCUGUGGUCUCUGGUGGAGCUGAGGCGGAUGAUGGGUCUAGGGUAGUUGCAGAAGGUGUGGGUGGGGCAGCUGUGGUCUCUGGUGGAGCUGAGGAAGAUGGUGGAGCUUGUGUAGUUGCAGAAGGUGUGGGUGGGGCAGCUGUGGUGUCUUGUGGAGCUGGGGAAUUCACUGGUGCUAAUGUAGCUACAGAAGAGCUUGUGUUAACAUUUUCUCUUGAAGAUAUGGUGGUGGCAUUCUGGGGAAGAAAAGUCACAUUUGGAAGGGUAGUAAUUUUGGUGGCUGGUGAGGAUUUGGGAAUUUGGGGGGGUUAUUAGGUGAAGGUGGAAGCUUAGGCCUACAGCGUUUGUGCAG